CCUACGGGAGGCAGCAGUGAGGAAUAUUGGACAAUGGGCGCAAGCCUGAUCCAGCCAUGCCGCGUGCAGGAAGACGGUCCUAUGGAUUGUAAACUGCUUUUGUACGGGAAGAAACACUCCUUCGUGAAGGAGCUUGACGGUACCGUAAGAAUAAGGAUCGGCUAACUCCGUGCCAGCAGCCGCGGUAAUACGGAGGAUCCAAGCGUUAUCCGGAAUCAUUGGGUUUAAAGGGUCCGUAGGCGGUUUAGUAAGUCAGUGGUGAAAGCCCAUCGCUCAACGGUGGAACGGCCAUUGAUACUGCUAGACUUGAAUUAUUAGGAAGUAACUAGAAUAUGUAGUGUAGCGGUGAAAUGCUUAGAGAUUACAUGGAAUACCAAUUGCGAAGGCAGGUUACUACUAAUGGAUUGACGCUGAUGGACGAAAGCGUGGGUAGCGAACAGGAUUAGAUACCCUGGUAGUCCACGCCGUAAACGAUGGAUACUAGCUGUUGGGGGUCAACGUUCAGUGGCUAAGCGAAAGUGAUAAGUAUCCACCUGGGGAGUACGUUCGCAAGAAUGAAACUCAAAGGAAUUGACGG
rnacentral:rRNA from 1 species